ACCAGACUCCUACGGGAGGCAGCAGUGGGGGAUAUUGCACAAUGGGGGGAACCCUGAUGCAGCGACGCCGCGUGGGUGAAGGAGCGUUUCGGCGCGUAAAGCCCUGUCAGCAGGGAAGAAAAUGACGGUACCUGAAGAAGAAGCCCCGGCUAACUACGUGCCAGCAGCCGCGGUAAUACGUAGGGGGCAAGCGUUAUCCGGAUUUACUGGGUGUAAAGGGGGCGCAGACGGCGAUGCAAGCCAGGAGUGAAAGCCCGGGGCCCAACCCCGGGACUGCUCUUGGAACUGCGUGGCUGGAGUGCAGGAGGGGCAGGCGGAAUUCCUGGUGUAGCGGUGAAAUGCGUAGAUAUCAGGAGGAACGCCGGUGGCGAAGGCGGCCUGCUGGACUGCAACUGACGUUGAGGCCCGAAAGCGUGGUGAGCAAACAGGAUUAGAUACCCGAGUAC
rnacentral:rRNA from 1 species